rnacentral:rRNA from 1 species
UGGGGAAUCUUGGACAAUGGGCGCAAGCCUGAUCCAGCCAUGCCGCGUGCGGGAAGAAGGCCUUCGGGUUGUAAACCGCUUUUGUCAGGGAAGAAAUCUUCUGAGUUAAUACCUCGGGAGGAUGACGGUACCUGAAGAAUAAGCACCGGCUAACUACGUGCCAGCAGCCGCGGUAAUACGUAGGGUGCAAGCGUUAAUCGGAAUUACUGGGCGUAAAGCGUGCGCAGGCGGUUUUGUAAGACAGAGGUGAAAUCCCCGGGCUCAACCUGGGAACUGCCUUUGUGACUGCAAGGCUUGAGUGCGGCAGAGGGGGAUGGAAUUCCGCGUGUAGCAGUGAAAUGCGUAGAUAUGCGGAGGAACACCGAUGGCGAAGGCAAUCCCCUGGGCCUGCACUGACGCUCAUGCACGAAAGCGUGGGGAGCAAACAGGAUUAGAUACCCUGGUAGUCCACGCCCUAAACGAUGUCAACUGGUUGUUGGGAAGGUUCCUUCUCAGUAACGUAGCUAACGCGUGAAGUUGACCGCCUGGGGAGUACGGCCGCAAGGUUGAAACUUAAAUGAAUUGACGGGGUCAUAGCUG